ACAAUUUCAAGCUUUGGCCUCAUCAUACAUUGCCUUCUCUCAUGGAGUUUAGAAGUCGUCGGCUUCUUUUGUUGUGUGGCGGAUUUAACCGCUGUUGCUUCUGGUACUGCUGCUGCAGCAUUGUUCUCUGAUGGACCUGUCAAGCGCUGCACGAUUUCUCUGAAAGUGUUGGUGUCUGUGUGGACGAAUGUUGUGACGGGCUUGCAUGUUGCAACGUUUUGACUUCCUUGGUUAUUCAUAUAUGAUUAGAAAUAUUCGAACGUGUAAGGUGAAUUUGAAGAAACUGGACCUAUCUAGAGAACCAAUGAAUUUCAAAUAUAUGCGAGUGAUUUCAGGAAUGAGGAUGAUGUAAGGAAUCACAAUGAUGAAAAAUAGAAGAAGACCAAAGACAUACCUGAAGAGCAAGCCGAGGCAGCUAGUGAAGGCGAAUGCUGGUUUCAGAACCCAAAAGAAGAUAAAAAGAAAAGACAACAAGAGAUAGAGAGAGAAGUCAAAGAAGGUUAAAAGACUGUUGUUGGUCUAAUGCUGGUCACAGCUCAGAACUUUGUUCAUAUACCAGAAAAAAAGGAGGAAAAAACAAGAAGAAUGUGGAGGAAAAAGACUAUUUUAUCCUUUUAUUUUUAACCGUUUUUGGGUUUGGUCAAACAUCAGAAUGCCAGAUUGUGAUGAGUUAUUUCAUGCUGUCGUGAAGGAAUGGAGAAAGCAAGUUCAACAAGGAAGAAAAGUGCAUGCCGUUUCGGUUAAGGAGUGUAGGGAGAGAGAUAGAGAGACGUCAUAGCAAACCUCUCCACCCAAUUUAUAAAACCAAACAACGGUUUCUAUUUUUUUGUUAUAUUGUUUUUUUUUAAUGGGCUGUCUCUGUUGAAUGUGCUGAGAUGUUUAACUGGACUCAUAACAGUUUCCUAACUGACACUGUUCUUUGGUUGA